rnacentral:rRNA from 1 species
AUGGACGAUGCAUGUUCACGGCCAACGCUUAUGCCACUCGAUUUAUUACGAGAAAUUACUAAUGGUUUCUCCGAGGAGCGGAGACUUGGUAGCGGUUCGUUUGGAAAGGUUUAUGAGGGAGUGCUUCAAGACGGGAAAAAGAUAGCUGUGAAGAUGCUCUAUGAUAUGCCCGGACUCGACGAUGAGCAAUUUAAGAACGAGUUUAAGAAUCUGACAUGGCUCCGACACCAAAAUAUUGUGCGGUUAGUUGGCUAUUGCUACGAUAUUCAGGAAAUACAAGUAAUGCACGAAGGAAGGUUGAUUCUUGCUGAAAGGACACAUAGGGCGCUCUGCUUGGAGUAUAUGUCUAAAGGAAGCCUUGAAAAUUAUCUUUCUGAUGAAUGUGAUAGAUAUGAUUGGCAUACAGGAUAUGGAAUAGUUAAUGGGAUUUGCCAGGGUUUGAAGUACCUCCACAAUGAAUUAGAACCUCCCAUUUAUCAUUUGGAUUUAAAGCCAGCCAAUGUAUUGCUGGAUGAGAACAUGGUUCCCAGGAUUGCAGAUUUUGGGAUGUCAAGGCUCUUCACAGAUGAACAAACACGAGCUACAAGAAGCUCUUUAGGAACAUUUGGGUACUUGCCACCGGAAUAUAUACACAAUAAUUUAAUCUCAAAUAAGUUCGACAUAUUCAGCUUGGGUGUUGUAAUUAUAAAGAUAAUGGCAGGACGUGCGGGCUACUUCAAUAGCGCUGAAAUGCCAUCCCGGGAAUUCACUGAUCUUGUGCAGGAAAAGUGGACAACUAAGCUACUUGAAACAUUUAAUCUGAGGAAGGCAUAUUCUGCACAAGUAAGAAUAUGCAUUAAAAUAGCUUUAAGUUGUGUGCAGGAGGAUCGACAUAAAAGGCCAACUAUACAGGAUAUUGUUGAUAGACUGAAUAAUACAGUAGCUAAGUGUACUGAUGCGGCAAGAAUGGACUGGUUCUUGAUUUACCAGGACAGUUUAGGUCAUUUAACUCAACCUGGAAACAUAUCUAAUCUCCAUUGUGAACAAGAAACUCCGUCUAAAAACAACCCUUCCCCAUCUUACGAUAUGGAGGCUGAUAAGAACAUUUUCCCUCGGUAUGCUCAAGAUCCAAUUGAUAAACAUGUCAACCAUAUAUACCAUGGAUCCACUUUUAAUCAGGAUACAGCAACAAUUAUUCACUCUACUUGUUUUGAAGAAAAUGCUAGUCCUACAAAAGCAGUAUUAGAUGGUGACUCGCCGAAUGACAAUCAAGAGUACUCAGCUGAUGGUAAUUCAUUACCUGGUGUUGAGGGAUUUCAAAUUUCCGGCGAUCCUAAACCAGGAUCUACUUUAAGAGCAUGCGGUUUUUCUAUAAAUGGUACUACAGUUUGUCAUAUCCAGUGGGUUCACUAUCUUAAAGAUGGGACCAGGCAUUCUAUUGAAGGUGCUACGACGUCUGACUAUGUGGUUACUGCAGAUGAUGUUGACACUCUUCUUGCUGUAGACUGCACUCCUAUGGAUGAUAAUGGUCGCCAGGUUGGUAAUUUGGUGAUGGAAUUUGCUAACAAUGCCAACAAGAUAACCUGCGACCCAGAACUGCAGAAUGACGUCAAUAUAUGUAUUUCAAGGGGGAGAGCCGACUUUGAUGUUUUUGUCCUGCAGAUGUAUUCUCCUGAGGAAUGGGAACAUGCCACUUUAGUGCUUAGACGAACUGGAUAUCAAGUUAACUUAAGCCGUAAGGAUGAAAUUUUAAUUGACGAGAAAUAUUCACCAAAUGUACAGAUAAAAAUUCCCAUUGGACGAACUACUCAGUUUAUUUUAGUAAGCUCUAGGGGUGUAAAUCUACCAUUUAAUACACAGGGCAUAACAGAGCCCAGUACCGAGGAUAAUGACAUAAGGCUACGCGAUCUAACCGUAUUGGUCUUUAGAGCCUUCCAGAAUAAGACACCGCUAUCUUCACUCGUCCUCCCAAAAGAAACAGAUGCCAUUUCAUUUGCAAAGGAAAAAAAUAUAGAUGACAUUCCAUCAUCGAGCACGAAGAAUCCCAUCGCUGAGCCACCUGCCUUCUUGUCGAAGAAGAGAUGGCUUAGUUCCUUUUUCAAAAGGAAAGGCAAGGGCCUAGCUAGAUGUGCCAGCCAAGAAAAUUCCCUUUAG